CCGAGUGGUGUGGAUGUUUAUUGGGCCUAAAGCAUCCGUAGCUGGCCAAGCCAGUCCCCUGUUAAACCCACCGAAUUAAUCGUUGGCUUGCGGGGGAUACUGCUCGGCUAGGGGACGAGAGAGGCCGACGGUAUUUCCGGGGUAAGGGUGAAAUCUUAUAAUCCCGGGAAGACCACCAGUGGCGAAGGCUGUCGGCUAGAACGCG
rnacentral:rRNA from 1 species